rnacentral:rRNA from 1 species
AUUGAACGCUGGCGGCAUGCUUUACACAUGCAAGUCGAACGGUAACAGGCCGCAAGGUGCUGACGAGUGGCGAACGGGUGAGUAAUGCAUCGGAACGUGCCCAGUCGUGGGGGAUAACGUAGCGAAAGCUGCGCUAAUACCGCAUACGAUCUAUGGAUGAAAGCGGGGGACCGUAAGGCCUCGCGCGAUUGGAGCGGCCGAUGUCAGAUUAGGUAGUUGGUGAGGUAAAGGCUCACCAAGCCAACGAUCUGUAGCUGGUCUGAGAGGACGACCAGCCACACUGGGACUGAGACACGGCCCAGACUCCUACGGGAGGCAGCAGUGGGGAAUUUUGGACAAUGGGCGCAAGCCUGAUCCAGCAAUGCCGCGUGCAGGAAGAAGGCCUUCGGGUUGUAAACUGCUUUUGUACGGAACGAAACGGUCUGGGUUAAUACCCUGGGCUAAUGACGGUACCGUAAGAAUAAGCACCGGCUAACUACGUGCCAGCCGCCGCCGUAAAAC